rnacentral:RNase_P_RNA from 1 species
UCAGAAGCGCGGUCUGUCGCUUGAGUCUUUUUUACUCAAGAGGAAAGUCCGGGCAACGUAGGGCAGCAUGCUUCCUAACGGGAAGCCGGCGGCGACGCCGGGGAUAAGUGACAGAAAACAACCGCCCGUCCUUUCAACAGGAUGAGGUAAGGGUGAAAAGGCGGGGUAAGAGCCCACCGGUCUUCAUGGCGACAUGAGGAGCCGCACAUCCCAUGUGU